GGAAUUUUGCACAAUGGAGGAAACUCUGAUGCAGCGAUGCCGCGUGAGUGAAGAAGGCCUUUGGGUUGUAAAGCUCUUUUGUGGGGGAAGAUAAUGACGGUACCCCAAGAAUAAGAUCCGGCUAACUUCGUGCCAGCAGCCGCGGUAAUACGAAGGGAUCUAGCGUAGUUCGGAAUUACUGGGCGUAAAGCGCGCGUAGGCGGUUUAGAAAGUUAAUUGUGAAAUCCCAAAGCUUAACUUUGGAACAGCAAUUAAAACUUCUAAACUAGAGUUUGAUAGAGGGAAGCGGAAUACAUAGUGUAGAGGUGAAAUUCGUAGAUAUUAUGUAGAACACCAGUUGCGAAGGCGGCUUCCUGGGUCAACACUGACGCUGUGGUGCGAAAGUAUGGGUAGCAAAGAGGAUUAGAUACCCUCGUAGUCCAUACCUUAAACGAUGAUUGCUAGAUGUUGGAAAUUUUUUCCAGUAUCGCAGCUAACGCGUUAAGCAAUCCGCCUGGGGAGUACGACCGCAAGGUUAAAACUCAAAUGAAUUGACGGA
rnacentral:rRNA from 1 species